GAGGCCUGGCUUUUUUUUAUUAUUGUCCUUCCCAGUCCGCAGUCCCCACUCUCGAGUCUCGACUCCUCCGCUGCUCUCCACUCAUCAAUUUGCUCCUCGCUCGACCUCGGUGUCUCCAUCUUCGCCGCGGUGCCACCGUAUCGCUGCUACAACGGCCUUCACUCGAAGGCGCCUGCGUCUGCAAGAUUGAAGUUGCGCCGGCAACAUCAGCAAAGAAAAAUCUGCGAUGCGCUCCCUGUCCGCCACCUCCUGCGAUCCCUCCUGCUUCUCGGGCCAGCGGCCGGAUCCGCAGCCCACGAUACCUUCGCCCGCCGCAUCCGGAAGACAACUCCCAUAUUCCCAAGCCGAUGUGAUUAUCGGCGCAAAAAUAUGGUAGUGAGCUUUGGUGCUGGACAAAGCACCAUGCCGUCCCUCUUCUUUCUCCCUGGGUUCAAUGGAUUUGGCAAGUCUGUAUUGGGACAGGCGUUCUCGAGGGUGACUCCUGCCGGGCAGCAGCAUGGCGGCGGGAGGCACAGGGGAGGGCGAAGUGGCCGGGCGAAUGUGAAGAAGACGAGCCCAACGCCGUUGAGGGAGAACAUGAAGCGGGUGGUCGGCCGCAACGCGCGGGUAGCGGAGGAGCCGGUGGAUUAG
rnacentral:lncRNA from 1 species